AUUGAGAGUAUGUUGUUCUUCGUCUUUUCCCAACCCUAAUUUUUAUCUAACCUAAACCCAACCUAGCUUGACCCAUAACCACCCCUUAAAUAACUAAUAGAAUAAGUUAACACCAAAUUGUUCCUAAGCUUCUAUUUAGCAAACUAGUCAGGAAGAGGAUAAGCCUUAUUUAAUGAGUUUUGUUGCAAGCUAGAGCCUAAUUUCAAGAUUCAAGUUUGAACCAAAUAUCUAUUAUUAAUGGAUAGGUCGAAGCCUAGCCUAGUAACAGUAGCAUGUUUGAUAGUAGGUAAGAUUCAAAUUAAGUUUUAGAAAUCUAUAUCCAAAUUUGAUCGAUAUCUUGGAGUCUAUGAUUAUAUGUCAACAGUAUUGAGUAGAAAAUAUUAUUGAUCUUUCGGCC
rnacentral:lncRNA from 1 species